rnacentral:lncRNA from 1 species
CUCCGGAGGAUAGGGCUGGUGGCCCGCGUCCCCUCGGCGACCCCGCGCUGAGCCCAGGCUCCCCACUCUUGGACAUUAUCAGCUCAAUGCAAACAGUUGCUGCUCUGGACAGGGAAGCCAGAGGAAAAAGGCCUCUGCAGUACACGCCAUAACAUGGAUUAAAAAAAAAAUAAAUUGGCCAGGCGCAGCCUGCCUGUAAUCCAGCAAUUUGGGAGGCUGAGGCAGGAGGAUCACUUGAGGCCUGGAGUUCGAAACCAGCGUGGUCAACACGGUGAAACCCAGUCUCUACUGAAAAUACAAAAAUUAGGCGUGGUGGCACACACCUGUAAUUCCAGCUACGGGAGGCUGAGGCAUGAGAAUCAUUUGAACCUGGGAGGCAGAGGUUGCAGUGAGCCGAGAUCGUGCCACUGCACUCCAGCCUGAGUGACAGAACAAGACUCUGUCUCAAAAAAUAAA